UCUGUAUAUAGGGUGUAUAACUUAUUCUCGUCUAGCGCAUAUUCGUACAAGAGUGGUCACAACAACUCCUUCCCCCUUGAGUUAGAUCGUAUUAUUCAGAACGGUUUAUUUAUCUAUUCGUCUUAUAAACCUAAACCAACCCUAUAAUAAAUCGAAAGAUAUUUUCAAAAUCGAUCUCUGAAUUACCUGUAAAAUAUCAAGAAACUAUUUUUCUUUUUGUUUUGAUAACGAGUAUUUUUGUCAAUACAAUUCUAUUUUACGUAUUAAAAUUGCUAAACACACUCUUCCUCAAAAAUAAGCACUGUGAAACUUUUUUUAUUUAAACAAGAUUAAUCAAGACAAUAAAAUAAAAUAUUGUGUAAAAAAACGUAUCAUUCACUUGAAAAUCUAUACACCAAAACAGUGAAUUAACUAUAUAGGUGCAUUUAAAUAUUCCAAAUUGCCACUCUACCCUAAUGAGUAAAAAUACAGUCAACAACGUGGACACAAUCACAAAAAAAAAAAACACAAAGUUAACCAUGAAUACACAAAUAAAAUAAACUUCCAUAGCAUCACUGUUCUCUAUCAUUAAACACACGAUAUGUCUUCUAAUAACAAGGAAUCUGGCCAAGACGAUCGAUGCAAUCCAUGUUCGACCGGUGCCAGAGAUCCAAAGACAUAGAAGUAUUCAUAGCUUCCCUGAACCAUACGCUGAUUAGCUCGCUGCUCACUGCGGUGAUGAUAGUACUGCCAUUGACGAAUACAUAGACGGAGUGGUGGCCAUUUUUUCGGGCACCACUAUAUACCCCUGGGGAGUGACGGAUUACAAUUAUUACAAUCACUCGACCAUUGAGAAGCCCCUCAAUUCAAAUCACGUCAGUUUGACAACAGUUGUCAUUUCCAUUUUUGUUUACCUCCUGUUUCUGAUUCAAAAAUCAAUGAAUCGAGACGAGUUUGUUUAUGUUUGUUUGGAAGCAAUUGGAUUAACGGAGGAGGAGGAUGCCUGCGAUUGUGUCGUUAGACGUUGAUGGGACCUACACGGACGACGCGCCGGAGGGGUAAGAGCAGCAGCUGCUGAAGGAUGAGCAAGAGUACUAUAAUGUUGAACCGCUGGAGUCAGAUGUUUGUUUAAUCUGCUUGAGUUGUCGGACCUCAAGGACCACAUUGUGGACGCACGACGGAUUGAAGAGCAGAUCAAAGAUAUGGCAUGUGAAUAUUGUAACAGAAUAUUUUCGGAUAUUAAGACCCUGGGCCUGGACCGACACAUCGGUAAAAUACACUUCACAGGAUCACCUCAAUGGACACACUGGGGAUCGUGUUUACCAAUGCGGUGAAUGCAAAGAUCAGCGUAUGCCUUCCGGAUGGGAAGGCAUGUGAAGCUGAACGGCGUAUACGUGUGCCCCGGGCUGUCGAGCGGCACAAGUACCGGCACAGCCGAGUACUGCACCAGUAGCAGCAACAGCACCAGCUAGAUCUAAUAAUGGGACACAGCGGAAGAAGAAAUUCCGUCAACGCCGGUAAGACAUCUUAUUUUUUCAAGGAAAAUGAGCGAAACAAAUUUCUCAAUGUUUUUGAAAGCUUCUCCAAAAACCGAAACGUGGAUCAGUCGCUUUCGUCUGUACCACGAAACAGGAAGAAAUUUUAAUAUUAAUUUACGGUCAACAGGUCAACAGCUUCGUCUUGAUGGACGAUCGCAUAGUUGAUGUAAUUUCCUUGGAAAAACUUAUUCAUCUCGGACAGUCAAAUGCCUAAGCAAGCUGAUUUGUUUAUGCUGGAUCUCUGACACUGAGCUGGCGGGUGGAUUGGACGACGGUCAUCUGAUGAUGUUCAACGUGGACGACGGUGACGAAGAGACUAUGAAUCACGAGUUAAAGCAAAAUUUGCACAAUAAACAUCCGGUGCCUGCCGACUUGCAUGUUGAUUACGGAGGCGGAUGAAUUGGGUUUGCACAAGUACCCUCAGCAGUCAGAGCACAAUUGUUAUUAAUAAAGGUGGAGUUUGGAAGCAUUUGAUCGGUAUGGUCACAGUGGAAACGGAAGACCCCAUUCGAGAAGCAAGCAAACAACCGCGCCCUGAAAAAUAGAAGAAAAACAAGCGAUACGUUCUGGUGAACAAAACCAAUAACAAUAUGAGCACUCCCUUGCCAAAUAAACAGAAGGAUGAUUCACAAUUAAAGCCAGAGGGAAUCAAAACGCCAUUAACUCAGAAAAUAAGAAAAUGGUCAAGGAAGGAAUUGUGGCCGUACGUGAAAACAGCUGGACAGGCGGUCUCCAGGCGCGCACGUUCCUUAUCCACAUGAGUUGCGCGUGGCCCAUUUCCUCCGGAACUUGAACUUUCUUGUGCCUCAACACGGAACCAAAACCAAAGUCACUACCGAAAAGUUGUUGCACUCAGGAUGUUGCACUCACUCAUAACCUGCCAAUCCAGCUAGUUGACGUAGAUGUGGAUCAGUAAUCCCAGUUGAGUAACCGCGAAUCGAAUCCGAAAUCUGCUGCGUGAUCUGGUCAAGCUUCUCAAGAUCAUCGGGUCCGAUCCAAGAUACUACCAACAAGGACGACUAUCACCGUAAUUCAAGCCCAAUCAGGAUUCGCAGCACUCGAGAACACGGUUGGAGAUCAAGAGAUGCGAUUAAUGCUAUGGAGCAGCUACAUUAACGUCCGCUGGCAAUGCUGUCUUUAGGGCAAACGCCAGCGUUGAGGCCUCGUCAUCACCAGCAAUUAUUG